rnacentral:rRNA from 1 species
UUGACGGGACCGCACAAGCGGUGGAUGAUGUGAAUUAAUUCGAUGCAACGCGAAAACCUUACCUACCCUUGACAUGUCCGGAAUCCCGAAGAGAUUUGGGAGUGCUCGCAAGAGAACCGGAACACAGGUGCUGCAUGGCUGUCGUCAGCUCGUGUCGUGAGAUGUUGGGUUAAGUCCCGCAACGAGCGCAACCCUUGUCAUUAGUUGCCAUCAUUUGGUUUGGGCACUCUAAUGAGACUGCCGGUGACAAACCGGAGGAAGGUGGGGAUGACGUCAAGUCCUCAUGGCCCUUAUGGGUAGGGCUUCACACGUCAUACAAUGGUCGGUACAGAGGGUUGCCAACCCGCGAGGGGGAGCUAAUCCCACAAAGCCGAUCGUAGUCCGGAUCGCAGUCUGCAACUCGACUGCGUGAAGUCGGAAUCGCUAGUAAUCGUGGAUCAGCAUGUCACGGUGAAUACGUUCCCGGGUCUU